rnacentral:rRNA from 1 species
CUGAACGCUGGCGGCGUGGCUAAGACAUGCAAGUCGCACGGUGUAGCAAUACACAGUGGCGAACGGGUGAGUAAUGAAUCGCUAAUGUACCCCGGACUCUGGGAUAGCUACCCGAAAGGGUAGGUAAUACCAGAUGAGACCACGGCAUCGCAUGAUGUUGUGCUCAAAGGUCCGCCGGUCUGGGAGCAGGCGAUUUCGUAUCAGCUAGUUGGUGAGGUAACGGCUCACUAAGGCGACGACGCGUAGCCGGACUGAGAGGUUGGCCGGCCACAUUGGGACUGAGACACUGCCCAGACUCCUACGGGGGGCUGCAGUAACGAAUCUUCCGCAAAUGCACGAAAGUGUGACGGAGCGACGCCGCGUGUAGGACGAAGCCCCUU